rnacentral:rRNA from 1 species
AUUGAACGCUGGCGGCAGGCCUAACACAUGCAAGUCGAGCGGAUGAAGGGUGCUUGCUCCUGGAUUCAGCGGCGGACGGGUGAGUAAUGCCUAGGAAUCUGCCUGGUAGUGGGGGAUAACGUCCGGAAACGGGCGCUAAUACCGCAUACGUCCUGAGGGAGAAAGUGGGGGAUCUUCGGACCUCACGCUAUCAUAUGAGCCUAGGUCGGAUUAGCUAGUUGGUGGGGUAAAGGCCUACCAAGGCGACGAUCCGUAACUGGUCUGAGAGGAUGAUCAGGCACACUGGAAGUGGGACAGGGUCCAGACUCCUACGAGAGGCAGCAGUGGGGAAUAUUGGACAAUGGGCGAAAGCCUGAUCCAGCCAUGCCGCGUGUGUGAAGAAAGUCUUCGGAUUGUAAAGCACUUUAAGUUGGGAGGAAGGGCAGUAAGUUAAUACCUUGCUGUUUUGACGUUACCAACAGAAUAAGCACCGGCUAACUUCGUG